rnacentral:rRNA from 1 species
CUACGGGAGGCUGCAGUGGGGAAUAUUGGACAAUGGGCACAAGCCUGAUCCAGCAAUGCCGCGUGUGUGAAGAAGGCCUUCGGGUUGUAAAGCACUUUAAGUUGGGAAGAAAAAACUCGCUCUAACACAGUGAGUCUUGACGGUACCGACAGAAUAAGCACCGGCUAACUCUGUGCCAGCAGCCGCGGUAAUACAGAGGGUGCAAGCGUUAAUCGGAUUUACUGGGCGUAAAGCGUGCGUAGGCGGUUCGUUAAGUCGAUUGUGAAAGCCCUGGGCUUAACCUGGGAAUUGCAGUCGAUACUGGCGGACUAGAGAACGGUAGAGGGAGGCGGAACUCCAGGUGUAGCGGUGAAAUGCGUAGAUAUCUGGAAGAACACCGAUGGCGAAGGCAACCUCCUGGGCCUGUUCUGACGCUGAGGCACGAAAGCGUGGGUAGCAAACAGGAUUAGAUACCCCUGUAGUC